ensembl:processed_transcript 9330162012Rik cDNA RIKEN 9330162012 gene
GCGGCCGCCCACGAAGCUGUCCCCGCGGAGUAGGUCGGCGUGGAGGCCAGCGGGGCCGCUGGCGUAGCUGCGCCGCGGGGUUCCUGCGGGCUCCGGGCGGAAGCGGCCGGGAGGCGGCAGCGCAGGACGCGCGGCCCAGAAGCUCCGCAGCAGAAAGCAGGUCGCCAUGGCCCUGCAGUAGCGGCGACACCGGCAAGGGACAGGGCCUGCGAAUGGAAAGACUCCCAGCAAGAUGAAUUCGUGCACAUAACUCACCGUUCUCAUUGUCGGAUGCUCACCUGUCAUUUCUUUAGGCCUUAAUUGUGACGGGAGCACUUUCUGUUCCCCAGUUCCCCAGCCCCGGCAAUUUGCACUCCGUCUAAAGAAGGCACCAAAGGCCAAACUCGCGGUUUCAUAUGCUCGGGCUACUGAGCAUUGGAACUGGGGAUCACUGUUCAGUGAGGGGUGAAGUGUGGCUCAGUGAUCGGUUCCUUGCAUGCUUUUCUACAUAUCCCCUUCAUGAAUUCGGAGCACAGCGCUCCUGAGUACUGAGAUUUGGGGCAACCGUUCAAUUAGGGUCGAAGUGAGGCUUCCUCUUGCAUGCUUUCUGUGUGUGUCCUCUGUUGGUCCUGAGCAGUGGUGCUCCCAAGCCACUGCCCUUUGCUUCGUGACGUAGCUGCUGUACAUCAAGCAACUAACAGAGCUGAAGUUUAGUAACUGGAAACAAUCAUCCUAGAAGUAAUAAUAAGCCCGGUGUUGUGGCCAGCACUUGAGAGGCUCUCGGUAAGUUUAAGGCUGAGACCCUAUUUUAAAAAAGAAAUCAACAGGGGUGUGAGGAUUGAACAUAGCACUAUCACCUUAAACAAAAUCUUCAUCCUCCUGCUGCAUCUGGGCCCCAAACUCUGCAGAAGAAAGAAACCCUAAGUUUUAAUUUGAAUAAAAGAAACAGCAGGUUUGUGUUCAGAAUACGUGGAGUCAAAUGUUGUUGUUAUUAUUGAGAAAACAUGUUAUUAUGUAGCCUAGGAUGACCUACAUCUCGCAGUCUUCCUUCCUAGAGUUCUGGAAUUACAGGCGAGCACUACAUGCCCCAGUUAGAAUAUUGUAUUUGCAAAAUGCCUUGGAUGUUCUUUUAAUUGUUGGCUUUGUCUUCUGCUGAGUCAGAGCCUCCCAGUCAUGUGCCAGAUACAUCUGGCAGAAGUCUCAAUAGCAGGAUUUAAUUGUGUGUACAGGUAGGUGUGCACACAUAUGUGCUGUGUGUGUUCACUACUUUGUCCUGUAUUUUAUUAAGGGAACUGGAGCGAGAAGCGGUCAAGAUAAGGAGGGCCUCCGGUGGCUUUCUCAGCUAUCGCAAGCUGGCCGGCCUGUAUUCCUGCUGCCUGUAGGGGGCGCUCUACUCAUAGACCAUUCUAUCUUCUCUGGGCAUUCCUUCAGAUCUUGUCUUAAUCACUGUAGACCCCAAACUUGAAAUCAGCUUUGUGUCUCGGGAUCCAAUAUAGAAUUCACUGUCUCUCGUUAUCUCUCUCUCUCUCUCUUCCUCCCCUUUUUUCUUUUAUUUCUGUAAAGAUUCAUCUUGGAAAAAAAAAAAAAAAACAGAAAUAAAAGAAAAAUAUCUUGUUUGGUAACCAAAGCCAACGUCAAAUUCACUAUGCAGCCCAGGCUGGUCUUGAACUCAGGGAAUCCACGGUAUCAAUCUGAGAGUAUUCAAGCAAGUCACCGCUCCUGGCUUGAGAAACUUUGUAAAAGCUCUGCCUACUCUCCUUUUCAGCUGAGUUGCCCGCCUUGCAUUUGCGCUCUAGGAGUAACACCGAAGUCUCGUAGCACUUUCACUGUUUGUUUCUUAGAAAGUGAGAAAAAAAAACCCACAAAAAUUCCCAAAAGCCUAAGCACACAAUAUUUAGGUUUAGUCUUACUAUUAAUCUUCACAGCAACGCGGUAGUAAAAUGCUUUUACUUACUUGUUGAAGGAAGGAGCUCACCAAGGCAAUUGUCCCUAUGGUCUGAGAAGUCCAUUAAGUGGCACCCGAAACUUCCUACACUGAUGCGUCUCCCCAGCAAGCCCCCGUUUGGAGUGGAAACAAUUCCCUCCAGCCUCUUCCCCGUGACUCCCGGAUCUUGGAUGGGUGCUCACUAGGACCCACAGGAGAAACGCAGUCACGGGGGGCGGAGCCUCUUCUCCCCUUGGGUUCCUGGGUACCAUGAGCUUCCAGUUCCUAGAUUUUAAACUUACCUAUUUAUGUGAAGAACUGGAGGGUUGCCAGGAUUGAUUUUUUUUUCCCCUUCUACCAUGUGGGUCCUUGGGAUUGGCCUUAGGUCAUCAGGCUUGGCUGCAAGCACCUGAUGAGCUAUUAUUAUUCCUAACAGUGACAUAGAAAGCUAUGCUUUAUUUUGAACGCUAAAAUUGUAUCUAAAGCUGGUCUUGGGGGCUCAGGCCUGCAUUUCCAGCACAGAGAUGUAGAGACAAAGAGAUGGAGAAUUCAAGGUAAGGGCUGGGGAGAUGGCCCAGUGGGUAAAAGUGCUUGCCUUACACCCCUAAUCACCGGAGUUCAAUCUGCAGAACCCAUGUAAAAAGGUGGAUACAGUGGGUAUAGCUGCAGUUCCACCACUCCUAUGGCAAGGUGGGAGCUGAAGACAGACGGAUCUCCCAGAUGCACCAGUUAGCCUGGAGUACUCUGAGAAGCAGAAAGAUGAAGAGAGACCUUGCCUCAAGCAGGUGUGUGUCUGUGUGUGUGUGUGUGUACUGAAACUUGUCCUCUCAUCUCCACAGGUGUGCAUGUGCGCAGACACACAUGCACACACACACACACUUAAAUAAGUCAAGGCAUAACUCAGCUACAUAGAUGGUUUGAGGAGAGCCUAAAUUACAUGCAGCUUUAUAAAAAAAUAUUGUGUUUCAUCAUUUAUCUGCAUAUGGAGACUAGUUUUCAUUUCAAUUGAAAUUGACUUCAUCCAAUUUUGUUUUAUACCCAUAUCUAAAUUUUUAGAAAUAAUCUUAUACUGACUAAACUGAAUGCAAAGUUGGUUUAUUGAUAGGAACGAAAUCAAUAAAUGGGUAGGGGAUAUAGCUCAGUGUUAGAACACUUGUCUAAAAUGAAGGAAGCCCUGGAUUUGAUCCCCCAUGCCACAAAACCCAAACCAAACAAAAAUCAACAGGGAAAAUAAUAGAAGUCCCUGGUGAGUCUUUUGGGUGGGGGAGUUUUCUUCUGAAUGAUAGUUGUGAAGGAAUAUUGCACUUAUAGUAUACUGAUCUCCACUUAAAAUGCACUGUGCACUGGCUCAUCUGAUAAACACAAUGACCCAUAAGGUGGAAACUAUUAUUACCUCUGAGUCACAGAGAAGCAGAAGCAUAUUUUAAUAACUUGCACAAGGUCCCUCAGCCUGAAGCUAGCAGGAUUGGUAUGCAAAUGAGGCACACAUUCUCACAGGCUCCUAGGAUACCUGCACCCUUGCUUUUCAACUUGUAUUUGCAUUUCAGAGAAGCUCCGGGUGAUGGAAUCGCACUGUCUCUUUAUAAAAAAAAGGCCUGCGUUAGCAAGGUGGAUAGCAGUAGGGGGGAAAAUAUUUUCAUAAACAUGUGGGCAUGUACGAUAUAGGGGUCAGAGGUCAACAUCAGGUAUCUUUCUCAAUAGCUUUCCUCCUCUUUAUUUCUGAGAUGGUCUUUCUCCAAACCUGGAGUGCAUUGAUUUGAUUAGGAUGGCUGGCCAAUGCACUCCGGGAAUCUGCUUGCCUGUGCCUCCCCUGCCCUGGAGUUACAGGAGCACAGUACUGUGCCUGGCUUUUAAAUGCUGGUAAGGGUGGGAAUGCGGUCCUCAUGCUUGUGAUGUCAUGAGUAAAAGGCAUCUCCCCAGCGUUUCUC